CAGUAGCCGCGGUAAUACGUAGGGUGCAAGCGUUAAUCGGAAUUACUGGGCGUAAAGCGUGCGCAGGCGGUUCGUUAAGACAGAUGUGAAAUCCCCGGGCUUAACCUGGGAACUGCAUUUGUGACUGGCGGGCUAGAGUAUGGCAGAGGGGGGUAGAAUUCCACGUGUAGCAGUGAAAUGCGUAGAGAUGUGGAGGAAUACCGAUGGCGAAGGCAGCCCCCUGGGCCAAUACUGACGCUCAUGCACGAAAGCGUGGGGAGCAAACAGGAUUAGAUACCCGGGUAGUCCCUGUCUCUUAUAC
rnacentral:rRNA from 1 species